UGGCUCAGGAUGAACGCUGGCGGCGUGCCUAAUACAUGCAAGUCGAGCGAACGGACGAGAAGCUUGCUUCUCUGAUGUUAGCGGCGGACGGGUGAGUAACACGUGGAUAACCUACCUAUAAGACUGGGAUAACUUCGGGAAACCGGAGCUAAUACCGGAUAAUAUUUUGAACCGCAUGGUUCAAAAGUGAAAGACGGUCUUGCUGUCACUUAUAGAUGGAUCCGCGCUGCAUUAGCUAGUUGGUAAGGUAACGGCUUACCAAGGCAACGAUGCAUAGCCGACCUGAGAGGGUGAUCGGCCACACUGGAACUGAGACACGGUCCAGACUCCUACGGGAGGCAGCAGUAGGGAAUCUUCCGCAAUGGGCGAAAGCCUGACGGAGCAACGCCGCGUGAGUGAUGAAGGUCUUCGGAUCGUAAAACUCUGUUAUUAGGGAAGAACAUAUGUGUAAGUAACUGUGCACAUCUUGACGGUACCUAAUCAGAAAGCCACGGCUAACUACGUGCCAGCAGCCGCGGUAAUACGUAGGUGGCAAGCGUUAUCCGGAAUUAUUGGGCGUAAAGCGCGCGUAGGCGGUUUUUUAAGUCUGAUGUGAAAGCC
rnacentral:rRNA from 1 species